GACGAACGCUGGCGGCGUGCUUAACACAUGCAAGUCGAGCGGUAAGGCCCUUUUGGGGGUACACGAGCGGCGAAUGGGUGAGUAACACGUGGGUGACCUGCCUUCAGCUCUGGGAUAAGCUUGGGAAACUGGGUCUAAUACCGGAUGUGACUGUCUGCCGCAUGGUGGGUGGUGGAAAGUUCUCGGGCUUUGGUCUGGGUUCGGCUGGGGAUGGGCCUGCGGCCUAUCAGCUUGUUGGUGGGGUGAUGGCCUACCAAGGCGACGACGGGUAGCCGGCCUGAGAGGGCGACCGGCCACACUGGGACUGAGACACGGCCCAGACUCCUACGGGAGGCAGCAGUGGGGAAUAUUGCGCAAUGGGCGGAAGCCUGACGCAGCGACGCCGCGUGGGGGAUGACGGCCUUCGGGUUGUAAACCUCUUUCGCCAUCGACGAAGGUUCUGUGGUUGUGAGGCUGCAGGGUUGACGGUAGGUGGAGAAGAAGCACCGGCCAACUACGUGCCAGCAGCCGCGGUAAUACGUAGGGUGCGAGCGUUGUCCGGAAUUAUUGGGCGUAAAGAGCUCGUAGGCGGUGUGUCGCGUCGGCCGUGAAAACCUGCAGCUUAACUGUGGGCGUGCGGUCGAUACGGGCAUCACUGGAGUUCGGCAGGGGAGACUGGAAUUCCUGGUGUAGCGGUGAAAUGCGCAGAUAUCAGGAGGAACACCGGUGGCGAAGGCGGGUCUCUGGGCCGAUACUGACGCUGAGGANCGAAAGCGUGGGGAGCGAACAGGAUUANAUACCCUGGUAGUCCACNCCGUAAACGGUGGGCGCUAGGUGUGGGGGCCAUUCCACGGUCUC
rnacentral:rRNA from 1 species